rnacentral:rRNA from 1 species
AUUGAACGCUGGCGGCAGGCCUAACACAUGCAAGUCGAACGGUAACAGGAAGCAGCUUGCUGCUUUGCUGACGAGUGGCGGACGGGUGAGUAAUGUCUGGGAAACUGCCCGAUGGAGGGGGAUAACUACUGGAAACGGUAGCUAAUACCGCAUAACGUCGCAAGACCAAAGAGGGGGACCUUAGGGCCUCUUGCCAUCGGAUGUGCCCAGAUGGGAUUAGCUAGUAGGUGGGGUAACGGCUCACCUAGGCGACGAUCCCUAGCUGGUCUGAGAGGAUGACCAGCCACACUGGAACUGAGACACGGUCCAGACUCCUACGGGAGGCAGCAGUGGGGAAUAUUGCACAAUGGGCGCAAGCCUGAUGCAGCCAGGCCGCGUGUAUGAAGAAGGCCUUCGGGUUGUAAAGUACUUUCAGCGGGGAGGAAGGGAGUAAAGUUAAUACCUUUGCUCAUUGACGUUACCCGCAGAAGAAGCACCGGCUAACUCCGUG